AGAGUUACAAAGGGUGUACCACCAAAGAGGUACUCAAAAGAGUUUGCUAACUUAGCUGUUGCAUGUGUUGCUAUUGUUAACAACUCAAAGCAGGUUGAAGCAGUGUCUACGUCAGAGACAAAGACACAACAGAGGGUAGCUAGCCAAGGUAAUGCAGAAGCACUCAUUCCUUGGAAGCCAGACAACCAGAGAGGUACAUUGGUUAAACCAGUGGCGGGUAGUUCCAAGGGUGGAACUGAAACAACAGGGGAAUGUUAUAAAUAUAACAACUGUUUGUUUUCUUCUCUGGAUGACGCUUUGCUCGCGGCACACAUUGAUACUUUAGGGGAGUAUGUUACCAUAAAGCACCAAUGCUGCAGCAAGCAAAGGCUCUAGCAGCUCAGCCAGCUGCUUGUGGCUGGAAAGCCAGACAGGAUGUUUGUGACUGUUGCCAUGGGAACAAAGGGGCAGUCCAUUCUGUACUGAGCACCGGAUGUUAGCUCAGUGUGUGUGUGUCAUAUGACCCGUACUGGAUGUACUUGGGAGGAGUUUCUUCUUGCUGUUGUUGAGUGCAGACAUGAUUCUCUGUACUGAUGUAAGAGGCAGAAAUAAAUGAUGUAAAUAGUUUUCUGUCUGCUUCUUUCCCCUCCCUGGGGACACCAAAGGGGAGAGAGGAAGAACGGUGUGUUCCUCUCAUACAUCUGAGAAGAAUCGCCGGACCUCGCCUGCUUAUCAGCAGAGUGGAGACGCGGGGAGGUCGACAGGAAUAUCUGCCGGUGCCUACGCUGUGGCACAUUCCUCUGACCCAGGCAGAAUUCCAACAC